GUGGGUGUGUGUGUGUGUGUGUGUGUGUGCGUGCAGGUGCAGGGGGCGUGAACGAGUUACGUCAUUAACUAGGGCGCCAGCAUUAGCGAGUCAGUGUGGUCCUGCAGGCACUUAUAUACGCACCUAUAGGGGGUCCUAUUGAAGGUAGCACUGUGUGGCUAAGCUAACGCGAGUAGCAGCGUGGGCUGGAGACGAUUCUCUGAGCUAGUGAAGUACUCAGUGAGAACAGGAGUGCCCGAGGCUGAGCGACUGUGAGUGGCUAUAAAUAGCAACAGUCUGUGUUUGUGCCUGGCGACGUGAUCUAAGAGGUAGGCUGGCUAAUUAUAUGAUAUGCUGGGGUUAAGUUACACUGUUUGUUUGUUAACUCUUGGCUAAGCUGCUUGUUAAUCACUACUUAUUCUGACUAACUUUUUUUUACACUCUGUUUGUUUGUUAGCUCUUGGCUAAGCUGCUUGUUAAUUCCUACUUAUCCUGACUAACUUUGAAGGUAUUUUUGAUCAGGUAGGCUUAAACUAUUGCACUUUUUAAAGUUCUGUAAUAGUUUGAUUAUUUUAGCUUUGGUUGCUACCACUAUAUUUAACUGCUACCACUAUAGUUAACACUAGUACUCUUUCGAAUAGUUAUCUGGGGGCUCUAGGUAAGAUGUAUGUCUCCAUAUGCUCUGUAAUAGUAGGCAAGUGUCUGCUGCAUUCUAAUUGUACAUUAUUAGAGACACUAUGCUUUUGAGCUGCUUUAGCUCCAUGUGCUGUCCUGUAAUAGUUUGAGUGUUUUAGCUUUGGUUGCUGCUAUUAUAUUUAACUGCUACUACUACAUUUAACACUAGUACCAUUUCUAGAAUGGUCACUUGGGGACUUUAGGUAAGAUAUGUCUCUAUGUUCUGAACAGAAUGCAAAAUGGGUUUUAUAUCAUGUUUCAAUUGCUUUUGUGUGAUCUAUUUCUAAUAGAGGUUUAAAGCUGCUACCCUGUCCAUGGGCGAAGUUAGCAUUCCACCUUGAGUUAAGUGAGAGCCACAGUUCCAGUGGUUGCCAGUUGCUGUUUUCUGCUCUUUUUUUGUAUUUCUUUUUUAUUUUUUUAUUCUACCAUAAAUUUUGUAGCACUAAGUGUAUUAACUGCUCAGGUAUUUUUAAGUAUUGUGGUUUUUAAUGAUGUGCUCUGUAUAGACUCUAGCCUAGUGGUAACCACGUGGUACAAUUAGUCAAUUUUAGCUGUGGCUAUAAUUGUUACUGGGACUGGGGGUUUGGAGUCAACCAUAUUCGGCUAAGUCCUGUUCACUAGAAGUGUGAUUCUUUUUUUUUUGUACUUAGUUUAUUUUAUUUUUAAGUUUGCUGUGCAGUGAUUAAGUAAACUUUAUUCACGUGUGUUCUUUUGGUCCUAUUGGAUUGACUUCAUAUUUCUCCAUACCCUGGACCCAGUGGUCAUGGGUAAAUUGUGAUUUUCUUAAAUUUUUAUAUAUAUAUUUCCUCUCACCCAAUAAAUGAAACUGACAGUAGAUUUGACUUUGGUACGGUUUUAAAUAAAUCAUUGUAUUUUGUACUACA